rnacentral:tRNA from 1 species
GGCAAUAUGGCCGAGUGGUCUAAGGCGCCAGAAUCAGGCUUUAUUUACAGUAAUCUGGUCCGAAAGGGCGAGGGUUCGAAUCCCUCUGUUGUCA